rnacentral:lncRNA from 1 species
AGAAAUCCCCAGGGUGUGGCCCCAGGAAGACAAGGAGCACGCCCUGUACUGAGGGUGAUAUGAAAGCUAAAAUGCUCACCAGCCUGCAAAGCCUGGACUCCCAAGACAGGAGCUCGGACCAGAGGCUGCAACACUGUGGAGGCAAUGGGGCCACACCCCCGGGCUGCACAGAAGCUGCCCGCACAUCCUCAUUCUUCCACUGCACACCCCCCACCCAGCCCCAAUCACCCCAGGGAGCUGGGGUCUCCGGGCGUUGGUGGAAGUAAUGCAUCCACGUUGUGCUACAACACCUUUGAGAGACAGGUCAGCCUCCUAGCCCAGGCACUGCCCUCCUGCUGCCACCAGGCCCUGGGCAGCCCAAGGGGUAAAGCAGGGAGUUAGGACAUGGGGGCAGAGGAAGAGAGAGGCCAGAGGGUGAGGACACCGGGGCCCCCCAGGAUGAGUGUUCCCUGGCCGGAUUGGGGACUGAUGGGAGCCACAAACAAAGCCAGAAUGGCCAGCAGCAGGGUUUCUUCUGGUUCCGACCCACAGGCACCCCCAGACCUUGUGGGCUGACUCAGGGCAGUCACAGCCAUCACACCGUGUCACCCUUCACAGUGUCACUGAGUC